rnacentral:rRNA from 10 species
UUUGACCUCGGAUCAGGUAGGAAUACCCGC